CGGCGGGAGUAACUAUGACUCUC
rnacentral:ncRNA from 4 species